CGUAAGGGCUCGCAGGCGGUUUCUUAAGUCUGAUGUGAAAGCCCCCGGCUCAACCGGGGAGGGUCAUUGGAAACUGGGGAACUUGAGUGCAGAAGAGGAGAGUGGAAUUCCACGUGUAGCGGUGAAAUGCGUAGAGAUGUGGAGGAACACCAGUGGCGAAGGCGACUCUCUGGUCUGUAACUGACGCUGAGGAGCGAAAGCGUGGGGAGCGAACAGGAUUAGAUACCCUGGUAGUCCACGCCGUAAACGAUGAGUGCUAAGUGUUAGGGGGUUUCCGCCCCUUAGUGCUGCAGCUAACGCAUUAAGCACUCCGCCUGGGGAGUACGGUCGCAAGACUGAAACUCAAAGGAAUUGACGGGGGCCCGCACAAGCGGUGGAGCAUGUGGUUUAAUUCGAAGCAACGCGAAGAACCUUACCAGGUCUUGACAUCCUCUGACAAUCCUAGAGAUAGGACGUCCCCUUCGGGGGCAGAGUGACAGGUGGUGCAUGGUUGUCGUCAGCUCGUGUCGUGAGAUGUUGGGUUAAGUCCCGCAACGAGCGCAACCCUUGAUCUUAGUUGCCAGCAUUCAGUUGGGCACUCUAAGGUGACUGCCGGUGACAAACCGG
rnacentral:rRNA from 1 species